CUAGCGGCAGGCCUAAUACAUGCAAGUCGAGGGGCAGCAUAUCCGCUUGCGGAUGAUGGCGACCGGCGGACGGGUGCGUAACGCGUAUGCAACUUACCCAAUACAGGAGGAUAGCCCGGAGAAAUUUGGAUUAAUACUCCAUGGUACUAUAGAUAGGCAUCUUGAAAUAGUUAAAGAUUUAUUGGUAUUGGAUGGGCAUGCGUAAGAUUAGCUAGUUGGUGAGGUAAAGGCUCACCAAGGCGACGAUCUUUAGGGGUUCUGAGAGGAUGAUCCCCCACACUGGUACUGAGAUACGGACCAGACUCCUACGGGAGGCAGCAGUAGGGAAUAUUGGUCAAUGGGCGAGAGCCUGAACCAGCCAUGCCGCGUGCAGGAAGACGGCCUUCUGGGUUGUAAACUGCUUUUAUAUGGGAAGAAAAAGGUUUUGCGAAGCCAAUUGCCGGUACCAUAUGAAUAAGCACCGGCUAACUCCGUGCCAGCAGCCGCGGUAAUACGGAGGGUGCAAGCGUUGUCCGGAUUUAUUGGGUUUAAAG
rnacentral:rRNA from 1 species